CCUGGUUGAUCCUGCCAAUAGUCAUAUGCUUGUCUCAAAGAUUAAGCCAUGCAUGUGUAAGUAUUAACUAAUUCAGACUGUGAAACUACGAAUGGCUCAUUAAAUCAGUUAUAGUUUGUUUGAUGGUAUCUACUACUCGGAUAACCAUAGUAAUUCUAGAGCUAAUACGUGCAACAAACCCCGACUUCUGGAAGGGAUGCAUUUGUUAGAUAAAAGGUCGACAAGGGCUAUGCCUGUUGCUCUGAUGAUUCAUGAUAACUCGAUGGAUCACAUGGCCUUUGUGCCGGUGAUGCAUCAUUCAAAUUUCUACCCUAUCAACUUUCGAUGGUAGGAUAGUGGCCUACUAUGGUGGUGACAGGUGAUAGAGAAAUAGGGUUUGAUUUUGGAGAGGGAGCCUGAGAAACGGCUACCACAUCCAAGGAAGGCAGCAGGCAUGUAAAUUACCCAAUCUUGACACGGGGUAAUAAAUAACAAUAUCGGGCUCCAUGAGUCUGGUAAUUGGAAUGAGUACAAUCUAAAUCCCUUAACGAGGAUUCAUUGGAGGGCAAGUCUGGUGCCAACAGCCAUAGUAAUUCUAGCUCCAAUAGCAUAUAUUUAAGUUGUUACAGUUAAAAAGCUCUUAGUUGGAACUAGGGUUCGGUCAUCUGAUCUGCCUCACGGUGAGCACCGGUCUACUCGUCCCUACUAUCUACGAUGCACUCCUAGACUUAAUUGCUCGGGUCAUUCCUCCGACGCUGUUACUUUGAAGAAAUUAGAGUGCUUAAAGAAGGCUUACGCUUGUAUACAUUAGCAUGGGAUAAUAUCAUAGGAUUUCGAUCCUAUUGUGUUGACCUUCGGGAUCAGAGUAAUGAUUAACAGGGACAGUCAGGGGCAUUUGUAUUUCAUAGUCAGAGGUGAAAUUCUUGGAUUUAUGAAAGAUGAACAACUGUGAAAACAUUUGCCAAGGAUUUUUUCAUUAAUCAAGAAUGAAAGUUAGGGGCUCGAAAAUGAUCAGAUACCAUCCUAGUCUCAACCAUAAAUGAUGCCAACUAGGGAUCGAUGGAUGUUACUUUUAGGACUCCACCGGUACCUUAUGAGAAAUCAAAGUUUUUGGGUUCCAGAGGGAGUAUGGUCGCAAGGCUGAAAUUUAAAGGAAUUCACGAAAGGGCACCACCAGGAGUGCAACCUGCGGCUUAAUUUGACUCAACACGGGGAAACUUACCAGGUUGAGACAUAGUAAGGAUUGACAGACUAAGAGCUCUUUCUUGAUUCUGGUGCAUGGCCGUUCUUAGUUGGUGGAGUAAUUUGUCUGGUUAAUUCCAUUAAUGAAUGAGACCUCAGCCUACUAACUAGCUACGCGGAGGUGAUCCUUUGUGGCUAGCUUUUUAGAGGGACUAUGGUCGCUUAGGCCAAAGAAGUUUGAGGCAAUAACAGGUCUGUGAUGCACUUAGAUGUUCUGGGUCGCACGCGUGCUACACUGAUGUAUUCAACGAGUCUAUAGCCUUGGCCAAUAGGCCCAGGUAAUCUUUGAAAUUUCAUCGUGAUGGGGAUAGAUCAUUGCAAUUGUUGGUCUUCAACAAGGAAUUCCUAGUAAGCGUGAGUCAUCAGCUCACGUUGACUACGUCCCUACCCUUUGUACACAUCACCGGUCGCUGCUAUCGAUUGAAUGGUCUGAGAAGUGUUCGGAUCACGGUGACAUGCACGGUCCACUGCCCGUGACGUCGUGAGAAGUCCACUGAACCUUAUCAUUUAGAGGAAGGAGAAGUCGUAACAAGGUUUUUGUAGGUGAACCUACGGAAG
rnacentral:rRNA from 1 species